UACGGAGGGUGCAAGCGUUGUUCGGAUUUACUGGGCGUAAAGCGUGUCUAGGUGGGCUUGUAAGUCAGAUGUGAAAUCCCCCGGCUUAACUGGGGAGGGUCAUUUGAAACUACAGGUCUUGAGUUUCGGGGAGGUGGGUGGAAUUCCCAGUGUAGAGGUGAAAUUCGUAGAGAUUGGGAGGAACAUCGGAGGCGAAAGCGGCUCACUAACCGAACACUGACACUGACACACGAAAGCGUGGGUAGCAAACAGG
rnacentral:rRNA from 1 species